GUGCCUGGCCUAGCAUAUAUAUUAAAAUUGGAUGAUACAAAGAAGAUUAGCAUGCCUCCUGUGAAAGGAUGACAUGCUGACAUGGAAAUUCGUGCUCCAUAUUUUU
ensembl:snRNA U6 U6 spliceosomal RNA